UGUUAAUAUCUGUAUGGAGUCGCAUAUGAUCAAAGUUCACAGUCACAGGGCCCUACUUCAUUUUAUUUUCCUACAAUUUCUUAGCAACCAAGCAGAGCAUAAACUAAAAUCAUAGAAUUCCGCGUAAAAAAAUAAAUUAAAAGAUAAGCAUCCUAACCAGGAUCACACUGCUGAUAAAACUCUUCAACUUCUGCAACCACGUAACAAAAUACCAACAAAAAAAACAUAUUCAAACUUUUAAGAAAAAAUUUGAUAAAUUAGAAA